UACAGAGGUCUCAAGCGUUGUUCGGAUUCAUUGGGCGUAAAGGGUGUGUAGGUGGCGCCGUAAGUCGGGUGUGAAAUUUCGGAGCUUAACUCCGAAACUGCAUUCGAUACUGCGGUGCUUGAGGACUGGAGAGGAGACUGGAAUUUACGGUGUAGCGGUGAAAUGCGUAGAUAUCGUAAGGAAGACCAGUGGCGAAGGCGGGUUGCUGGGCUGACACUGACGCUGAGGCGCGAAAGCCAGGGGAGCAAACGGG
rnacentral:rRNA from 1 species